rnacentral:miRNA from 1 species
CCUAAUAGACCUAAUCUGAGCAAAAUGACUCACAUACCGGUUAGUGUAGCUUAAAACAAAGCAGAGCACUGAAAAUGCUUAGAUGGGUUCU